AUGCUCUGUUUUCUCUUCAGAUCGAAUAAAUCUUUCACCUGUUACUAAAGAUUUCCGUGGAGAGGAACAACUCUUGAGUUUUUGGUCCAUUUUUUGAGGCCUUGCCUUAGCAAGGAA
rnacentral:snRNA from 1 species